ACUCCUACGGGAGGCAGCAGUGAGGAAUAUUGGUCAAUGGGGGGAACCCUGAACCAGCAACGCCGCGUGGGUGAUGAAGGCCUUCGGGUCGUAAAGCCCUUUUCUAGGUGACGAGCAAGGACGGUAGCUUAGGAAUAAGUGUCGGCUAACUACGUGCCAGCAGCCGCGGUAAAACGUAGGACACAAGCGUUAUCCGGAAUUACUGGGCGUAAAGCGCCUGCAGGCGGCAUAAUAAGUCAUGCGUGAAAGCGCCCGGCUAAACUGGGCGAGGACGGAUGAUACUGUUAAGCUAGAGGGUGAUAGAGGCGAGUGGAAUUCCGCGUGUAGUGGUGAAAUGCGUAGAGAUGCGGAGGAACACCAGUGGCGAAGGCGGCUCGCUGGGUCACACCUGACGCUGAGAGGCGAAAGCAUGGGGAGCGAACGGGAUUAGAAACCCCGGUAGUCCAUGCCGUAAACGAUGCGUGCUAGAUGUGGGGAUAUCGAAAGAUGUUUCUGUGUCGAAGCUAACGCGAUAAGCACACCGCCUGGGGAGUACGGUCGCAAGGCUAAAACUCAAAGGAAUUGACGGGGGCCCGCACAAGCAGCGGA
rnacentral:rRNA from 1 species